rnacentral:lncRNA from 1 species
GGAGCUAGGACUCGAAACUUUAUGGGUUGUAAAUUCUAGGAUAACGACAUCAGGUGGUGGUAGUACUUCUGUUACUUCUUUUCCUUGAACCGAGGGUCUAUCGGAAACAGCUUCUCUAUUUCUGAGGUAGGAGUAAAGUCGGCGUACGCUCCACCCUACCGAGACUUCGCUUUGUAGGAUUACACUGUGUAUGUUGUCGUUGUUGUUGUUGUUGUUGUUACAAUACAACGUGUACAUAGUCAUUAUAACUUCCGGAAUCCGACGACAACGACAACAUACCCAUUGUAUUCCCACAAAGCGGGGCGUGGGGAGGGUGGAAUGUAUGCAGACGGGACCUUUUACCGCAGAGGUGAGGUAAAGAACCUUUUCCGAUAGACCCCCGGCUCCAGACAAAAACAGACCUGAAAAAGACGUUAUGGAAGUACAAGAGAUAACAGACACUAACACAAAGCGGGGCGUGGGGAGGGUGGAAUGUAUGCAGACGGGACCUUUUACCGCAGAGGUGAGGUAAAGAACCUUUUCCGAUAGACCCCCGGCUCCAGACAAAAACAGACCUGAAAAAGACGUUAUGGAAGUACAAGAGAUAAUAACACUAAACGAAAACAACAGAUAGUCGCAGAACAAUUCUACAACAAAAUAAUACAACUGAACUACACGAAACACUAGACAGUAUCAGAAGUUGAAGAAAUAGGGGUAUACAACAACAACAACAAUAACAUACCGAGUGUAUACACGAGAUAAUAGACAGUAAACGAAAACAACAGACAGUCGCGAAACAAUUCUACAACAAAAUAGUACUAUAAUUGAACUACA